CCUGCAACAGCAAGUGGUUAUUGAAGAUUAAACAGAAGUCUCAUUUAUGGCUUAGCUUUAGAGAUUCCCUGGCAGAACCACAGGUUCGUCUGCUCUGAGAUCUUACCUGAGAAAUUAAGACUUUAUUUUCUCAAACGGUUUUGAAAACAGCUGGAAAUAUCUUUCUAAUCAUUUACCAUUUUUGCUUGUGAGAUGAUCUGGAAAGUGGAUAUAUUAAUAUAGCAGUUCUCUGCAAAGCAGAUUUGUGAUGCUGAAAGUAACAGCUGUGCUUGCGUUGGUCCUCUAACUUAUAAAACCCAUCAGGAGACAAAGGGUGUCAACAAAAUCCCUCUCCCUUAUAUUCACAAGUGGACAGCUAGCUUCUGAGAAUCAGGCCUGACUCCCAACCUUGUGGCAUUCUGAGUAUUUAGACUUCAAUUUGUUCUCUGAGCUGGUAGAAUAGAUCGCUAUCACAAACAUGUAACCUGCCUCCCACAUUUAGAAAGAAGGAAGAUAAUUUUUCAUCCACAAGCAUGCCUGCUUUCUUCUUGCUACUGUUACUAUAGCAACCAGUGUGGUUUUGAUAUCCCAUCAUGAACCCCAGGGAGCCUGAAUGCAGUCCUUGUCCCUAGAGCUGAUGCCACGUGCUCUCCCUUUCUUGUGGAGUAUGGGGGCACCUGCCACACAGUGAUGGCUCAGUUCUCCAUGAGUCAUCUAUGGUGGUAGAGACAGAUUCCAUCAAACAUCAUCAUGUUCCAAUAAUUUACUAAAUCAUGUAUGUAGUUACGUGUCCACCACAGAACAUUUUGAGGAUCUGGAUAAGUGCUCACCAUCUGUCAAAGGGAAAACACAAACUACUCAAUUAAAAAUUCCUUAGCUCAUGGAUGGUUUGCCAUAUCAAACCCAUUUAGCAGAAAGGAAUCACAAAUAACUCUAUGGGUAUCAAAACCGUUAGCUUUGAAAUAUAAAACUUGUCAAUUUAACCAGCACUGAAUCUAAAUCUAAUUAUGUCUAACAGACUUAUACUAUUUAACAUUGGUUCCUCCUUCAGAUAGCAUAUACUAUGAUAUUUUAUAAAGUAGAUAUGAGUUAUUAAAAUGUUAAAACAUUAAAAUGUCAUUUUAACUUACUUUAUACUAUACUACAUAGUGUUUUCUUAUUGUAAUUGUUUUAAUAGGAAUCUGUUUUAUUUUAAGCACUAUCCUGAAAGCUGGUGAUUCACAUUCAUUUCUUUUAUCUUGAAGAGGAGAAAUUUGGAGCCAGUAGGUAGUGUUUAAAUAUCUGGCAAUGAUGAAGGAAUCAAGUAUCCUUUAGUGGAAAUCUAUUUCAGAAUAUUUGAUCUGGUAUUCUUAUUAUAACUAGCUUAUCAUUUGCAAUAUGAGAAAAAAGUUUAUUUUUCAAGAUAAACAAAAAAAUUGACGAGGGCAUUUGUAUUUUAUAUUUAUUUAGUGCUUAUUAUGUGUAGUAAGAAAUGAAAUAAAAUAACACUUUUCUCCCUCUACUCUUCAAAAAUAUUUUUAUUACGACUAUUUGAUAUAUUCUUCACAAUAUGAGUGAUAUACAUGUAAACGAUGAAGCUGCGUUAACACUGUAUAAUAACAUGAAUACCUGUAAAUCUACCACCAAAUUUCAGAAACAAUACCAUUGCAUCUCUUAUGAGUUUCUUUCUAAUACCAUCUCCUUGCUUCUCCAUCUCAGAGGUAACCACAAAUGUGGAUUUUAUGUUUAUCAUUACCUUACUUUUAAAAAAUAUUUUUGAAAUUCACAUGUGUCUGUAAACAAUAUGUUGUUUAGUGCUACUUGUAUGAGAAAUCUACAAAAAUGGUACCAUAUAGCACAUUUUUCAUUUUUAUUUAUUUUCUAUUUAUUAUGUUGUUAUAUUUAGUUAUAAUUUAUUCCUUUUUCUUAUUCCUUGAUAUCCCAUUAUGCAAAAGUGCCACAGUUUGCCUCUCUGUUCUCCAGCUGAUGAACACUUGGGUUGUUUCUAGUUUCUCUGCUAUUAUAAAGAAUACUUCUAUAAACAUUCUUGUACAUGUCUUAUUAUGCCCAUGUGCAAAAAUCUGGGUCUGUACCCAGGAGUGGAAUUGCUGGCUUGUAGAGAGUAUGCACAUGUUCAACUUCAGGAGAUAGUGCCAAAUUGUUUUCCAAAGUGACUUUAGAAAUUUACUUUUUCUACCAGCAGUGAUCAAGGGCACUCUUUGAUUCACAUCUUUCCAAUACUGUUCUUUCUAAUACUAUAACAACCAGUAUGGUUUCGAUAUCCCAUUAUAAACUGCAGUGAGCUUUUCCCCUUUUGGGGACAAGGACUGUAUUCCCUGUAGAUUAUAUAUACUGUACAUUUCCAGACUGAGGCUUGUGUUUUGUGUUGUUUGAUGACCAAAGAGUUUAAUUUUAAUGCAGUUCCACUCAUAAUCUUGUUUUGUUCAAUCAAGUGUUCUUUUCCCGAAGGUCAAAAUUUAAUCCUGGUAUAUUUUCUUCUAAGAAUUUUAAAGAUUUUUGUCCUUCCAUAUUUAAGACUUUAAUUUAUUGUGAAUUUAUUUUUUGGUUUGAUAUGAAAAAGAAAUUUAGUUUCAUCUUUUCCAUAUGAAUAACCAAUUGCCCUGAAAUCAUUCACUGAACAGUUCACUGUUGUCUUUUUUAAAUGAAAUGCAAUGCCACUUAUUGUCAAAUGCUGUUUCCAUCUAUGCUUGUGUAUUUUCAGGGUUCUCAAUUCUUUCCUAUUUGCACAGUUAUACAUGAAUUAACAUGAUAGCUCCACAAUACAAAACUUUACCUUCUAAUGUGCUGAUAUCUGGUGGAACAGCCCCAACUACGCUAUUCUUCUAUUCUAGGAAUUUCAUCUUUGAUAUAAAUUUUAGAAUAAGCUGUCAUGAUUCACAGAAAAAUAAGGUGAUAUUUUUAUUAUAAUUGAAUCUACAUAUCAUUUUGGGGAGAAAUGACAUAUUUUUAAUAUUGAGUCUUUAAUAUCUUCAUUAACAUGUUGACUAUACCAAUUUAUUGACUAUAAUCAUUGAGAAAUACUUUGGUAUCAUUCAAUGAAAUUUUAUAAUUUUCUCCAUAUGGGCUUUAUGUCUAUUUUGUUAUAAUGAUUCUUAAAUUAUAUAUUUGUUCUUAUUCUUGUUCUUGUGCUAUAUUUACUUGUUCUUUUCUUACUAUGCUAGCUAAGAUCAGUGCAGUCAAAAUAGUCAUCUGUUUCUUGGGCUUGAUUUUAUAGCAAAUGUUUAUAAUGUCUUUUUUUUAAAUCAGGAAUACUUGUUAUAGUUUUUUUUUUAUAGAUGGCUAAGGAAGUUCCUUCCUCUUAGUUUACUUAAGUAUUUUUUAAAAAUCAUGAAUGACUGUUAAAUUUUACCAAAUGUUUUUACUAUCUAUUGACAAGAUUAUAUUAUUUUUAGAUUUUCUUUUUUUUCUUUUUCUUUUUUUUUUUUUUUCGAGUCGGAGUCUCACAUUGUCGCGCAGGCUGGAGUGCAAUGGCACAAUCUCGGCUCACUGCAACCUCGGCCUCCCAGGUUCAAGCAAUUCUCCUGCCUCAGCCUCCCAAGUAACUGGGAUUAUAGGCACCUGCUACCAUGCCUGGCUAAUUUUUUGUAUUUUUAGUAUACAAAUUAGACAGGAUUUCACUAUGUUGGCCAGGCUGGUCUCGAAAUCCUGACCUUGUGAUCUACCCACCUUGGCCUCCCAAAGUGCUGGGAUUACAGGCGUGAGCCACUGUGCCUGGCUGAUAUUUUGAUUUUCUAACAUUAAACCACUUCUGCAUUCCUGAAAUAAUCCAAGUUACUCGUGGUUAUACAUCUUUGGGUUCUCUUUGUGAAUAUUUUGUGUGGGCUUUGUAUUUUUUAGAAAAAUAAAUAAGAUUUGUUACAUAAUAUGAUUGAUCACUAAAUGUUACAUACUAAAAUUGAUUUUUAAAACACGUAAUCACAAAUAACAUGAUCUGGUUUACAAGGGUAUGUGCAUACUUAAGGAUAUAUUUGUAAAGCAUUGUGUUCUUUUGGUCAUGGCAGACAAAAUAAUUCCUAUGAACCCUUUCAUUGAGAAAAACUAGAUUAAAUGGAAAAUUACGUUUUAAAAAAUGUGAUUGAAGAUAUUAAAGAAUACCAAGGCAAUAAGAGGUAUGAUGCUUAAAUCUGGGCAGUUGAGGGAUUGCUUUUAACAGAAUCAAAUGGACAGGGGAUAUAGAUACUAAAGUUUAUGUCCUUGCAAAAUUGAUACUCUUUUUUAAAAAAAGUUUUGAGACAGAGUCUCACUCUGUCAUCCAGGCUAGAGUGUGGUGGCGUGAACAGCUGAAUAGCAGUCCUGAAUAGCUGGAAUCACAGUUGUGCACGACCAUGCCCAUUUAAUUUUUAAACAUUUUUUGUAGAGAAAGGGUCUUAUCAUGCUGCCUAGCCUAGUUUCAAACUCCUGGGCUCAAACGAUCCUCCUGCUUUGACCUGCCAAAGUGCUGGGAUUACAGACAUGGGCCACUACACCCGGCUGGUUGACAUUCUUUAGGCUUUAACAUCCUUGAAUGCUAUUGGGAUAAAAUUGUCCCUGUCUGUGUUGGUUGUGUUCUACUUGCUUUCUCCCAGAUCCAUUUUCUGCCCUUCUUUGUGUCCAGAGAGGAUGGGAUGAGUCAGGCCCAAAAGACUAUUACUUCAGCUUGUGCAACUGGGAAAAUGAUCUUAGAGGAAUUUACAUUUAAAUUUAAGGGACCGAAGCUGACUGUCUACAGAUUUGGAAAUAUAGGUGCAAAUAUGAGGGUGACUUUGCACCUACAAUUGAUCAACAGGAACAUCCUAGAGAAGACAAUUGUCCUGGGGAGAUGAUGUGAGUGAAAUAGGAGGCCAGCAUGGAAAUAUGGAAUGUUCAGUCCUUGCUAGCCAAGAUGAGAGCAGAAAUAAAUGAUACGAAACUAAAAAUACAAAAGUAAGUUAACUGCUUUAUAUAAGCAUUAGGGAAAAUGCAUUAUCAGCUAGGUGUGAGGGUACCUGUCCAGUCUGCCUUCGUUUUCUCCUAGGUGGUGCUGGUGUCCCUCCACUUCCCAAAAGAAUGAUGCCGGACUCAUUCUUGGUGCUGAAUGACAGGUUGAUUUCUGUUCCUACAUCAAUUGGCACAGGGGAGAGCUCCACAAAACCAGGCUUAGGAAAGCUAACUGUGUAAACAUUCUGUGAGUAAAGGAAAAGAAGAGUAGAAACCAUUAGAAAUGAAAAUUUAAAUAAGUUCUCCAUCUCACUCACCCUCCUCGAUGCAAUUAAUGUGAUUAUGAAAUACAUCAUAGGUUUAGAAAGCAGGAAAACAUGGAAAGUUUAAGAGCAGUUGAAGAAAUAUUAUUUCUAGUUAUAUGAUAACUUCAAAUCUUCUGAGCAGUUUUUGUUAAAAUCAGAAUUAUAGCCUCUACUUUUAUUCUAGAGCUUUUGAUUUUAAAUAUAGAAGAUUAUCACUGUUAGGUACCUUUUUUUGUUGUUGUUGUUUAAACCAAAGAUUUAAGUCAAACUGACACACAAGCAGGUACAUGUCUAGGGAGAUUGUCCCUAAGUUUCCUUUGAAAACACUGUAACGAAUAUCUCUUGAAUAAACUCUAUCACUUAAUUGUUUAUGUUUUACAGAUGGGUAUGACCAUUAUCUGUGUCUGCAUUUUUCCCCAGUGAUAAGACCAAACCUUAAAAAUAAAUAAAACAAACAUCGCAUAGUCUAGUUUUUUCUCAAUAUUAAAGUAAUACCAUUGUCCUUGCUCAGUAUAAAAUUAAAACAGUUACAUUUCAAGUAGAAAUGUAAAUAAGGUGCAAAAGGGAGAAAAUCAGCUCCCCAUCUCAAUCUCAAAGCUGUGCAGAAGCAUAUAGCUUUCUAUAAUUCAUUCAUUCAUUCAUUCAUUCACUCUUUCACAACCUUGCCAUCUUCCUCUCUCCUCCUCCCUGUAUUUAAAAUGAAUCUUGAUAGACAUGUUCAUUCCUAAUGACUUUUUUUUCUUACAUAUGUGGAAGAUAUCACUCUCUCAGUAAAUGUAGAUAGUCACUUUUAAUGGCAGGAGGACUUUCUACUUUAUGAAUUUGCUAGUAUUUAUUUAAGCAAGCCCAUGUAGUUAGGAAUUUAAAGUGCUUAAAAUAUUCAUUUUUAAAGUCCUAGAUUUUGUAGGAGUAAAAGCAAAGAAUCCUUUAAUGUAGGCUAUUUUCCUCCCACAGUGUUUCAAGACCAGUUAAAUGACACAAGAGCUGGUAAAAUGUAUAAUCUGUUUUCUAUUCCAAUUUUCAAAUCAUGGAGUUUUAGAUAGUUCAGAUAAAACUACUGUGCAGACUUUUCAAUAUUUAUCCACAUCAAAUUUCUGCCUCAUAUUUUAGUUGCAAAAUAAUUCCUGGUUACUGCAAAGUGCCUUUAGGGAAUCAUAAUUUCCACGUGCAGAGGCUAUUCAUUUUCCGGACAGUUUCCAUCCUCAUGUAUAUAUCUUUUGAAUGUGAAUGAGAGUUAGGCUUUGAAGAUUAAAAUUCUCAGUAAAACUUCCUUUAAGAAGCCAGUAUGGGUCCUUACAGUUUUAGUUCUUAAUGUGUUUUCUCUUUUCUUAUUCCCAAACUUCUCAGAGUGGGUGUCUAUGGCCAAUUCCAAAUUGGAGCCUGUAGCUAUGAACAAUGAAGAUCCUGAAAGUUCUGUUCCAGUCUUUAAACCUCAUCAUUCAAGUGGUGGAUUUACUUUUUUCUUUACCCACAUUUUCCCUUCAUUUCCCUAAUUCUAUUGGAGUGGUUUAAGAUAAUUUUGAUUAGAAGCAGCAGACAAAAUGAAUAAUUGUAUUAUGAUAGGAUAAUUAAAAAUGUAUGAGAAUGACA